rnacentral:rRNA from 1 species
UACGUAGGGGGCAAGCGGUUGCCCGGAAUUAUUGGGCGUAAAGAGCAGCGUAGACGGUAGCGUAAGUCAGAUGUGAAAGCCCCGGGCUACAACCUGGGGAACUGCCAUUUGAGACUGCUCUGCUCGGGGUGCGGAAGAGGGAAGCGGAAUUUCCGGUGUAGCGGUGAAAGUGACGUAGAUAUCGGAAGGAACACCAGUGGCGAAAGCGGACUUCCUGGUCCGACGACCGACGUCAGGCACGAAAGCGUGGGGAGCAAACAGG